GUUAACUACCGUGAUUUACAGUCCAGUCUCUGCUAGAAUGCUUCUGAUCUUUCUCAAUAAACACGCUGUGGGAACCACAGCUCAGGACUCUUGACUUGCUUGCUCUUGAGUCCCCUGACCCCAUGCUUUCCUAAACUAUUAGGUGAAUUUUCUUAAUUCCACCGUGCCACUCACAUUCAGGUUCAUUCGUGUGGAUGAGAUCACCACAACUGGCGCCUGAACAGGGACCUGAAGUGAAAGGAGUUGCCUGAGCGACUGGUCAGAGACAAAAGACUGGUGGAACCCAACAAACAGAGGGACUUUCCAGAAGACAGAGAGAAAGCGGAGAAAUAUUGUGGCUCCCUGCAAAAUGACUGAAACCCAGAAAUAAACCGGAAAAGGGCAAGAUUCGGCAAAGAUCCACCACUAGAGGAAAGAAUGGCGAAGCUGAAUAUACGACCUUCAGUAACCGUCACCAACACAACUCAGAAAACCCCUCCCAUGACGUGGGGAGUGAUAAAGAAGACCUCGCAUGAAGCUGACAAGAUACUGGAGGGACUGCGCGUACCAGAGACGUCGGCCAACAGUCUGGCAACGUCUCCCCUGACAAAGUCAAAAACAACAACAACUAGCUGUGUAUGCUGUGAAGCUCAGAUGUGUGUCCGAUAAACAAAAAGGGGGAGUUGUAGAGAACCAGAGAGGACACAGAGAACAACGACUUGGAGUAACCUCCGGAGAGCACAUGACCAGCUACAUGGCUGCAAGCAGUUCUGAAAGCAGAACUAGUCUCAAAGGAAAACUGAUUGAGAUAAAGCAGUCAUGUAACCUGACGGCUCCAGCUCCAGGUUACAGCUUCACUAUCUCUCCUAGUAGUUAUAAAAAACAAGGUGUUCUGUUUUUUCUCUAUUUGUGAUGUUAACUAUCAUGAUUUAUAAUCCAGUCUCUGCUAGAAUGCUUUUGAUCUUUCUCAAUAAACACGCUAU